GCCUGUCAACACUGAGGUUGUGAGUUUGAAACCCUCAUAUGGCAGGUGUGCUGGACUCAUUAAGUAGCGCUGAAAUUGGGAGCACAAUCAAUCAAAUUCAAUUGAUGAUGACAAGACUCAGCUAUUGUAAUCAUGAUGUGUUAUGUGUCAUAAUUAAAUUUAUCUAAAGUUUAUAAGAAAAUUCUUGUUGUGAUGAAUCACAAGUUCCCAGCUUUGUAAGGAUCUGUGUAAAAUUCCUAUGUAAUGUCACUUGCUAUCAUCCUUAUAAUCUAUGAAAUUUUUUUCACAACCAAUGUGUAUAAAACAUUCACAGGAAAUAGAUAUAUGAAGAUGUGGUAUGAG
rnacentral:lncRNA from 1 species